rnacentral:rRNA from 1 species
GACGAACGCUGGCGGCGUGCUUAACACAUGCAAGUCGAACGGAAAGGCCCUGCUUUUGUGGGGUGCUCGAGUGGCGAACGGGUGAGUAACACGUGAGUAACCUGCCCUUGACUUUGGGAUAACUUCAGGAAACUGGGGCUAAUACCGGAUAGGAGCUCCUGCUGCAUGGUGGGGGUUGGAAAGUUUCGGCGGUUGGGGAUGGACUCGCGGCUUAUCAGCUUGUUGGUGGAGUAGUGGCUUACCAAGGCUUUGACGGGUAGCCGGCCUGAGAGGGUGACCGGCCACAAUGGGACUGAGAUACGGCCCAGACGCCUACGUGAGGCAGCAGUGGGGAAUAUUGCGCAAUGGGCGGAAGCCUGAUGCAGCAACGCCGCGUGCGGGAUGACGGCCUUCGGGUUGUAAACCGCUUUCGCCUGUGACGAAGCGUGAGUGACGGUAAUGAGUAAAGAAGCACCGGCUAACUACGUG